AGAGCAGUUUCCUUGGGGGAGGAGCCAGGUGUGAGCUAUACAUGGCUAGCCAAGUCCUGGGUUGGUGCUACUCAUCCGGCAUGAAACCUCUUUGGGGAUUAUUCUCCUAACUCAGCAGAGUGGAGGGAUUAACCUGUCACAGCUGGACAGAUCAGCCUGACAUCACACCUGGAAGCCAGGUCUUAAAGCCCAGGGCGGGUUGCAGCUUCCAGGUUGGUUUCCAAGCUAAGGAAAUCUAAACUUACCUGAUGAUGUGAAGUAACGAAUUACUGAAACCUUCCUUCAAGCCAAUCAACCAACAAAGAAAUAUGCUAAGAUGGGUGUGAGCCAGGAAAUGCCAGUCAAACAGGUGCCUGUUGGGGAAAUAUGAUAACCAGAAACCCCGUGCAAAUGUUUCCCAGACCAAAUCUCCUUUGGACUCCACUAUGCACUUCCUGGACGGAGCAUGGGCACAAUGAGGGCGCCCUCUGCUGGCAGCACGAGUAUUUUCAGCGAUUUGCAUGCCAAGUUGAAGGAGUCUACAGGAAUAGAAUUUGAAAGAAUUAGAAAAGUUCAAAGGAAGCUUAUUAGGCCCGCCUCCAUUUUUAUAAAUGGCAAUAAAGUCCGACAUAACCAUGAUGUGAAAGUAAAAUACAUAAAUAUAGGGUUCUGUUAUAUUGUAUACCUGGACAAGUUUAGAAGGGAGCAGAGUUUGCUGUUUGAGGCAGAGAGGGAAAGUUGAUGACCAGAGAGGGAGAAGAGAAAUGCUGGAGAGACAUCUUUGAGUAGAUGAGAGACAAUGGGAAUUGUCUGACGGACAAAUAAGGGUGUGGUUCUCUGCUAGGAUCAUUGGCUGUUCAUCCUCUAACAGGAGGGAAGGCAGAGGGUAGACACAGGUAGAUGGGUAGGUGUCAUAGUGAGAGUUGGUGGAAGGUUGCUUUUGCUUUUACAGUGAAAUGGGAAGCAAAUUCAUCAGCUGAGAGUGAGUUUGCAGGAGGAGAGAGGGAAAACUGAAGCAGUCAUCCAGGAGAAUGAGAGAAUGAUUACACCAGAGAGAUGGAGUGGGAUUGCCCAGCAGCAGGAAAGAGUAUGGAGUCAUGAAUUCAAAGUGUAACCAGUGGAGAUGCCACUUCUGCUUGGGAUGAAGAAAGCUAUAAAUAUUACCCCAUCUUAACCUGCUACGCAAUCAGUUUUUCUCAAACCCAUCAGAGAACUGAGAUCACAAGGCAGCUAACUACCAGAAUUCCAAAGAGAGUUAAAGCCUUGUGAGGAGAGAUGGAACUCACUCACGGUGUCACCUGGAGUAGAGCAUGGGAGAGAGGGCCAGCAGGUGCAAGUGGGGAACGAGAAAUAAGCUUAAGUUUUAACCAACUGCUGAUGGCCCCGUGUGGGCUAGUGCAUCGGUCCAAAACAGUUGGGUGCUCCAGACACAGGGCAGUCUGCGCUCCCUCACUCACAAGCCUUCCCCUGGAUGCUCCUGAGGAGGAUGACAGGCAGGCAGGAGCCGGGAGAAAGGCUUCCUCCACAGUGCAGGCACACAGAAGGUAACUGAUGGCUGUGUGGGGACGGGUCCUCAG
rnacentral:lncRNA from 1 species